UAUAUUGUCAUGGAGAGUCCUCCGCCGUCUUACUCAGCCGCAGUUAACUCUCCUCCUCUAGAUCAGUCGCGCCCUCAGUAUCAGAAGAAUGAUCAAUAUCGUCCGUCACCUGUAGAAGAUAAUACUGUGCCUCCAAUGCAAACACGCCCUGAGUGGCGUAGAACUGAGAUACCGGCAGCACGAGUAGAACCGCCUCGAAGCCGUGGCUAUCUCACAAGGAUAAUUUUAUUUUUAAUGCUUUCAACUUUUUUAAUAUUGGCUAUAAUACUCUUCAUUCUUCGAUUCUCACCGCUGAGAAUAAUUUAAAUAUUACGUAGACUAACCAUGUUCUUAUCUUCGAAAGAUAGCUUUGAGAAAAGUUAAUCUUAAAUAGAUUUUAAUUGUUU